UACGUAGGGGGCAAGCGUUGUCCGGAUUUAUUGGGCGUAAAGAGCUCGUAGGCGGUUUGGUAAGUCAGGUGUGAAAUCUCCACGCUCAACGUGGAGGGGCCACCUGAUACUGCCAUGGCUGGAGUCCGGUAGAGGAGUGUGGAAUUCCCGGUGUAGCGGUGAAAUGCGCAGAUAUCGGGAGGAACACCCGUAGCGAAGGCGGCACUCUGGGCCGGUACUGACGCUGAGUGAGCGAAAGCCAGGGGAGCAAACGGG
rnacentral:rRNA from 1 species